GUCAUUGUGGUGUAGUGUUUUGAGUGCUGGACUAUGACUCUGGAGACCAGGGUUUGAUUCCCGGCUAAGCCA